ACGGCCGCGGGAUUCUCCACCGUGCAAAGGUAGCAUAAUCACUGGUCUCCUAAAUAGAGACUAGUAUGUAUGGCCAAAUGAAGAUUUACCUGUCUCUUGAAGCCUAUCUAUGAAACUGAUCUUUCAGUACAAAAGCUGAAAUUUAAACACAAGACGAAAAGACCCUGCGGAACUUAAAGCCACAGCCAACAAAAUGGACCUAUUGCUUUUAGUUGGGGCAACUUUGGAAAAAAACAAAACUUCCAAUUAACUAUCUAGGCAGACAUGCCGACAUACAACAAACUAGAUCCAGUACUACUGAUUAAAGAAAAAAGCUACCCCAGGGAUANCAGCGCCAUCCCCUNNAGAGCCCCCAUCGACGAGCGGGGUUUACGACCU
rnacentral:rRNA from 1 species